GCGGUUACACUUAUAAUGCAAUAAAAAAUGUUCGGUAAUUAAUUAAUAAAGAUUUACGAGUAAGUUUUUAGUUUUAUUGGGUGAAAUUUAUAAAAUUAAACAAUACUUGCAUUUAUUUUAUGAGGUUAAUAAAUUUAGAUUUUAAACUAGGAUUAGAUACCCUAUUAUUCUAAAUUAAACUUUGGUUACUUGGUUAGUAGUAGUUAUGGUCUUGAAAAUUAAAGAAGUUGGCGGUAUUUUAGUCUAUUCAGAGGAACCUGUCCUAUAAUCGAUGAUCCACGAUUUAUUUUACUUAUUUUAAUUAGUUUGCAUAUCGCCGUAGUUUGAAUAUUUUUAAAAAAAUGGAAUGUUCAAUAAUUUUUGUUAGAAAAGAAUUCAGGUCAAGAUGUAGUUUAUAAAUAAGAAGAGAUGGGUUACAAUAAAUUUAUUUAGGCGGAUUGAUAAAUGAAAUUUUAUUAUAAAGAUGGAUUUGAAGGUAAUUUUAUUUAAAUAAAUAAAAUGAUUCUAGCUCUAAAAUAUGUACAUAUC
rnacentral:rRNA from 1 species